rnacentral:rRNA from 1 species
AACGAACGCUGGCGGCAUGCCUAACACAUGCAAGUCGAACGACACCUUCGGGUCUAGUGGCGCACGGGUGCGUAACGCGUGGGAACCUGCCCUUAGGUUCGGAAUAACUCCCCGACAGGGGUGCUAAUACCGGAUAAUUUCUUCGGACCAAAGAUUUAUCGCCUUUGGAUGGGCCCGCGUUGGAUUAGCUUGUUGGUAGGGUAAAAGCCUACCAAGGCGACGAUCCAUAGCUGGUCUGAGAGGAUGAUCAGCCACACUGGGACUGAGACACGGCCCAGACUACUACGGGAGGCAGCAGUGGGGAAUAUUGGACAAUGGGCGAAAGCCUGAUCCAGCAAUGCCGCGUGAGUGAUGAAGGCCUGAGGGUUGUAAAGCUCUUUUACCCGGGAUGAUAAUGACAGUACCGGGAGAAUAAGCACCGGCUAACUCCGUG